rnacentral:lncRNA from 1 species
GUUGAACUGAUGCCCAGCACACUCCCCGGAGAGCUGAGCCCCCACAAAGUUGGGAGUGGGGCAGGCAGAGGGGUGAUGCCUGCCUGGUGCCAGCCUUGAGGAAACCCUGUGGCUCCUGACAGAAGGGCAGAACCUGAUACCUGGGUUUGACUAAGAGCAAAAAAGAGCAGCUCCCACAGCGCCCAGCGCCUGGCAUGUGCUCCACAGACACACGAAGAAAUGAAGGCGGGUACAGGAGAGGAAGGGGACAAGAGGACAGAGGAAGGAUGUCUGAGAGAUGCCCAGCGUGGGUGGGUGCUCCCUCCCCCCUGCCUCCGCUCCUCCUCCUCCCCGGAACUGCUGCCUCCUCCGCCUGAGCGGCUGAUGCCCUCUGGGUUCUGUUUUCAUUCCAGGCUGUGGAUCCGGUCGUGGGAAGCAGAGAAGACUGCUAGGCCUGAGCUGACUCCCCUGGAAACCCCAGACUCCAGUGACGUGCUUCUGGAACCUGCUCAGACAAAGUUAGGUAAGAGCCUGGGCAGUGGGUGGGUUGCAACACCCAGCCUGGCUGACCAGAAAGCUGAAGAGGACUGGAAGUUCAAGAAGAAGUAGAGAGGAGGUGGAGAGAGAGAAAGGGCAGAAGGAGGAGACAUCGAAGACCUCCCGAACAUCUUCUGUGGGAUCUCAGAGAAGGCAAAGCUCACCCUCCUGACUCCAGGACUCAUUUGCGUCCAGCCACUGAAUUAUCUACUUGUUACCCCUCCUGUGGAUCUCUCCCGAGGGAAAGAUCUACCUUGGAAGGCUGGUAAUAAAUGGUAAUAAAAGAUCUCUAAGGCAG